GAUGAAGAACGCAGCGAAAUGCGAUAAGUAAUGUGAAUUGCAGAAUUCAGUGAAUCAUCGAAUCUUUGAACGCACAUUGCGCCCCCUGGUAUUCCGGGGGGCAUGCCUGUCCGAGCGUCAUUACAACCCUCAAGCUCAGCUUGGUAUUGGGCCCCGCCGACCCGGCGGGCCCUAAAGUCAGUGGCGGUGCCGUCCGGCUCCGAGCGUAGUAAUUCUUCUCGCUCUGGAGGUCCGGUCGUGUGCUCGCCAGCAACCCCCAAUUAUUUUCAGGUUGACCUCGGAUCAGGUAGGGAUACCCGCUGAACUUAAGCAUAUCAAUAAGCGGAGGA
rnacentral:misc_RNA from 1 species